rnacentral:RNase_P_RNA from 1 species
GAAGCCAACCAGACAGUCGCCGCUUAGCGCAAGUUAAGGGGAGGAAAGUCCGGGCUGCACAGAGCGGGAUGACGGCUAACGGCCGUACGCUGAAAGCUGGAAACAGUAUAAGGUGAGGAAUAGGGCCACAGAGACGAGCGUAUUAAGUUACGGUGAAACGCGGUAACCUCCAUUCGCAGCAAUAUCAAAUAGGCUGGCAUUUGUCGCAAGACAUAAGGCGUGGCUCGCGCUGCCAGCGGGUAGAUAGCUUGAGCGUGUGAGCAAUUACACGCCUAGAUGAAUGACUGUCGCCACGCAAGUGGAUACAGAACCCGGCUUACCGGUUGGCUUCAAUU